GACGAGAGAAGGAGAAGGUCAGGAAUAGUUUAAACUAAGAUUGAGAAAGUAAAUGGGGUGAAAGGGGGUGUAGCUUCAGGGCAGUUCACAGCCUGGCGUAAACGCAAGGUGCUGUCACACAGCUUAAGUUAUUUGGUUGAUUUAUUUUAUGACAAAAUAAUAAGGAAAUAUUAAAAAUAUACAACACGUUGAGAAGAUUUCUUAUGUUAUAUUUUAGUGUUUAACAUGGAAGAUGCCUCUCCGGAGCUUCUCUCCUGAUGCUACUCCACCAAAAGAAGUUCAUUUAUAGAGACUAUGUCAGCUCCCAAACAGACAACAACAAACCAAGAUUAGCAAUAAACAAUCUAAACAUAAAUAAUAACAAAUGAAGAACAAUACAGAAUCCAAAUCUGAACCAAAGAACAAAAUAGUGAAAUGCGGAUUAUUGGGUUUUUCUCUGUAUAUAUGAAGUAUUUGUAAUGUGUAUCUGCUAAUGAAGGCUUGUAGAGGCCAGUUUAUACUCACAAACGAGUGCUCAGCCAGACUGAAAAACAGGAAGCUUUAGUGCACAAGGCAUAUUAAUAAAUAUAGACACAAAAAGAGGAACUCCCCAUAUAAACAACGUUCAAAAUGUGUGAAGUAUAAAGUACCGAAAUAACACUAUAUAAGUCACAGUUGAUGAUUCUAAUGUUAGAGAGCUCUUGCAAUUGGCGUCUGAGCUGUGCAGAGGUCUCUCUUAAGACAGGUACUUAUGUAGGUUAGCAUGAGGUUGAGUUAAUUUUAUACACAAUGCAUAACUGUGCUUGUUUAGAGUUGAUGUUCUAUCCAAGAGGGUUUUAAGCUUCACUGGUGAGAGUGUCCAGGUGAUACAUGUUGAGGGAUGAUGAGAACAUAGCAGGUGAAUUGCAUGCGCGCUUACAAACACACAUGAUUUAAAUAUAGGCCAGGCCAAAGGCCUGGACUUGAUGCAGCUUUCAACUUUACAGCUCCUAACUUGCAGGAAUGGCGUGGAGUGUAAUGAAU
ensembl:lncRNA